rnacentral:rRNA from 1 species
GAUGAACGCUGGCGGCGUGCCUAAUACAUGCAAGUCGAGCGAACGGACGAGAAGCUUGCUUCUCUGAUGUUAGCGGCGGACGGGUGAGUAACACGUGGAUAACCUACCUAUAAGACUGGGUUAACUUCGGGAAACCGGAGCUAAUACCGGAUAAUAUUUUGAACCGCAUGGUUCAAAAGUGAAAGACGGUCUUGCUGUCACUUAUAGAUGGAUCCGCGCUGCAUUAGCUAGUUGGUAAGGUAACGGCUUACCAAGGCAACGAUGCAUAGCCGACCUGAGAGGGUGAUCGGCCACACUGGAGCUGAGACACGGUCCAGACUCCUACGGGAGGCAGCAGUAGGGAAUCUUCCGCAAUGGGCGAAAGCCUGACGGAGCAACGCCGCGUGAGUGAUGAAGGUCUUCGGAUCGUAAAACUCUGUUAUUAGGGAAGAACAUAUGUGUAAGUAACUGUGCACAUCUUGACGGUACCUAAUCAGAAAGCCACGGCUAACUACGUG